rnacentral:rRNA from 1 species
UACGUAGGGGGCGAGCGUUGUCCGGAUUCAUUGGGCGUAAAGAGCUCGUAGGCGGCUGUUCAAGUCGAUUGUGAAAACUCGGAGCUCAACUCCGAGCCUGCGUUCGAUACUGGACGGCUAGAGUCUGGUAGGGGGACCUGGAAUUCCUGGUGUAGCGGUGGAAUGCGUAGAUAGUCAGGAGGAAUACCGAUGGCGAAGGCAGGUCUCUGGGCUGACACUGACGCUCAUGCACGAAAGCGUGGGGAGCAAACAGG